rnacentral:rRNA from 1 species
UUCGCCUACGGGGGGCAGCAGUGAGGAAUAUUGGUCAAUGGGCGAGAGCCUGAACCAGCCAAGUCGCGUGAAGGAUGACGGCCCUAUGGGUUGUAAACUUCUUUUGUCAGGGAGCAAUUGGGUCCACGCGUGGGCUUAGCGAGAGUACCUGAAGAAAAAGCAUCGGCUAACUCCGUGCCAGCAGCCGCGGUAAUACGGAGGAUGCGAGCGUUAUCCGGAUUUAUUGGGUUUAAAGGGUGCGUAGGCGGGCUUUUAAGUCAGCGGUAAAAAUUCGGGGCUCAACCCCGUCCGGCCGUUGAAACUGG